rnacentral:rRNA from 1 species
CCUACGGGCGGCAGCAGUAAGGAAUAUUGCUCAAUGGGGGAAACCCUGAAGCAGCAACGCCGCGUGGAGGAUGAAGGUUUUCGGAUUGUAAACUCCUUUUGUUAGAGAAGAUAAUGACGGUAUCUAACGAAUAAGCACCGGCUAACUCCGUGCCAGCAGCCGCGGUCAUACGGAGGGUGCAAGCGUUACUCGGAAUCACUGGGCGUAAAGAGCGCGUAGGCGGGAUAGCAAGUCAGAUGUGAAAUCCUAUGGCUUAACCAUAGAACUGCAGUUGAAACUGUUAUUCUAGAGUAUGGGAGAGGUAGGUGGAAUUCUUGGUGUAGGGGUAAAAUCCGUAGAGAUCAAGAGGAAUUCCCAUUGCGAAGGCGAUCUGCUAGAACAUAACUGACGCUGAUGCGCGAAAGCGUGGGGAGCAAACAGGAUUAGAUACCCUUGUAGUC